UACAGAGGUGCCAAGCGUUAGGCGGAAUCACUGGGCUUAAAGCGCGCGUAGGCGGAUGUUUAAGUGUCUUGUGAAAUCCCACGGCUCAACCGUGGAACUGCUGGGCAUACUGGACAUCUCGAGGCACUCAGGGGCGAGCGGAACAAGUGGUGGAGCGGUGAAAUGCGUAGAUAUCUGGAGGAACGCCGGUGGCGAAGGCGGCAUCCUGGACCAGCGCUGACACUGAUGAGCGAAAGCCAGGGGAGCAAACGGG
rnacentral:rRNA from 1 species